GAAUUAAACAAUUGAAUUGAAUAAACAUAAAUCAAACAAAUUCAAAAAUGAAAAUAGAUCAAAGUAAAUCAAGUUAAAUCAAAUUAAACGUGAAAAGUUAUAAUACAAAAGUUAAGUAUGCAAAUCAAAUAUAUAAAACUCAAUACUAAUUUCUUCGAUGAGAUUAUAUUUUUUCUCAACUAUUAAUAAGUUACACAAUUUCUAUUAAACCAUGUAUUUUAUGUUUUCAAAAAAAAAUUUUCAAAUUUUUAAUUUCUCUUUUUUGUGAAUUUAAAAAAUUAAUUAUGAAAAGAACUUAAGGAAAUAUAACCAAAAGAAACAAUGAUUGCAUAUGGAUAAAUUUUGAUAAAAAAAAUCGUGAGAAGAGCGAUGCAAUGACAAGUGAAACUGCACGACCUGCAUUCGGGGAUGCAUCGAAAGAAGAACAACAAGUUUGCCGAACGAGUUGUGAAGAUGGAGUCGGGACAAGAGGAACCAAAGGUCUUCAAGUUUUUGUGAGACAUACGAAACCUGCGACGCGGAGCGACAUUCUUCUCUUCUAACUCUUUCUGUUCUCGAUUCGAUGAAUCUAAAGAAAUCGGCGUACAGAUACUGAACUUUUAGGGGCAUACUUUUUCAGAACUGAACAAAAGUAUUUAUCUUACACAACUUCUACCAAGAUCAACAAUUAUUUUGAUUUUAAUUAGACAAUUUUAAUGAGCGAAUAUUAUUAUUGAAAUAAUUCUUUGAGUGAAAUUUUAAAAAUUCCAUUUUAUGUUUCAUAACGUUACCAUUAUAUCAUACUCUCCAUCUUUUUAACAAGAAAAAAAGGAAUCAGGACAUGAAAAUAUUUAAUUUUUAUUUUCAUUUUUUUCUUUUCUUUCCUUUUGUAUCGUCCAAUAAACAACAUGGAAAGACUAUAAUCUUCUGAAGUAAAACGUUCAAGAUUUCGAUAAAAAUGCCAGCCAGAUUCCCCACAGAUAAACUGCGCGACUUCCAGUGACUUCUCCCUCUAUCGACUGAUACUCACACAAAAGAAGAUAUGAAAAACAAGAACGAAUAUAGAAAACCUUCAUUUUAACAAAUAUAUCAGGAUGCUAUCUUAUUCCCUUUAUAUCUUUCUUUUAUUACCAGUUGGCGCCGAUCUUCAAAUGGCAUCGGUUCUCUUUUUAAAAUAAAUUUCUGUAACGAAUCACAUACCACCUUUUCAUCGAAGAUAAUUUCAAGCUUCCAAGAACCGGCAAAGAUAAGCAAAGAGGCGAAAUUAAAACUCUUAAUGACAAAUAAAACUGCGGGUUUGAUGAUUUCGAAACGAUCAAACCAAAGGGAAUGAAUCGUAUUUCAUUGGACUUUAGUAUGAUGGCUGUCUUCAAGAACGAACGCAUAUUAUCUACUAUAUGUGUACUACCUAUUCGAACACGAGGAGACCCAUAACCUCAUCGUCGUUGUUGAUUACAUGUUCUGUCAAAUGCGUUGACGCGUUGGCUCGUAAGAACCUUAAUGAUCCUAACGAGUUCCCCUCUUGGUGAAUCUUGCAAAUGAUGUUAAUCAUAAACCAUGAAGUAUUUUGGCACCGCGGACAAUGGAAUAACAUGAUUUUCAUAAUAUUACAUUCAUUAUAUUGUUUUCAUGGUAAUAAUUGGUGUAAAGUUAGUCAAGAAAUAGAAUAUAUAUAAUGAGAGAUUUAAAGAAAAGCAGUAAUAAUUAAGAAAACAAUUUUAAGAAUAAUAUA
rnacentral:lncRNA from 1 species